rnacentral:tRNA from 1 species
GGGCCCGUAGCUCAGCCAGGCAGAGCGGCGGGCUCCAGACCCGUAGGGCGGGGGUUCAAAUCCCUCCGGGCCCA